rnacentral:tmRNA from 1 species
GGGGGUGAAAAGGUUUCGACGGGGAUAAUGGGGAUUGUCGAGGCAUGCCGUGGAGACUACCUUCACGUUAAACUGGUGGUAAACAAGUAACUGCAAACGAUAACUUUGCACUCGCCGCUUAAUU